rnacentral:lncRNA from 1 species
GGGUGUUGUUUGACUGAAGGAUUGAAUUGUGCGGUAACUUAUCACUGAAGGAUAUUUUGGUAAUUUUCUCAAAUUUCAUCUCUUUCAGAUAGUCAUGAUAUAUUGCUAAAUAUCAAUCUUGACUUAUGAACUCAUAAGAAUUAAAAAAUUUAAUUUAAAAAUUAAUUAGAAAGAGUUCUAGUUAAUUAGGGCACUUGGACUGACUUAGUCUAAUCGGAUUAGGGUUUGAUCAAAAGUCUGAGUCUACUGCUGGUUAGAUUUGAAACUCAAUGGGUCACACACUUUAUAAUUUAAUCUUGAUCUAAUUUAAUUAAAAUUUAGUAUAAAUUUUAG